UCCUACGGGGGGCAGCAGCCGCGGUAAUACGUAGGGGGCAAGCGUUAUCCGGAAUUAUUGGGCGUAAAGAGUACGUAGGCGGUUCUUUAAGCGUAGGGUCUAAGGCGAUGGCUUAACCAUCGUUCGCCCUGUGAACUGGAGGACUUGAGUAUCGGAGAGGAAAGCGGAAUUCCUAGUGUAGCGGUGAAAUGCGUAGAUAUUAGGAGGAACACCAGUGGCGAAGGCGGCUUUCUGGACGAAAACUGACGCUGAGGUACGAAAGCGUGGGGAGCAAACAGGAUUAGAUACCCCAGUAGUCCCUAGAU
rnacentral:rRNA from 1 species